rnacentral:rRNA from 1 species
UACGUAGGGGGCAAGCGUUGUCCGGAAUUAUUGGGCGUAAAGCGCGUGUAGGCGGUCCGGUAAGUCCGCUGUGAAAGUCGAGGGCUCAACCCUCGAAUGCCGGUGGAUACUGUCGGGCUAGAGUGACGGAAGAGGCGAGUGGAAUUCCUGGUGUAGCGGUGAAAUGCGCAGAUAUCAGGAGGAACACCGAUUGCGAAGGCAGCUCGCUGGGACGUAACUGACGCUGAGACGCGAAAGCGUGGGGAGCAAACAGG